GAGAAGGAAAAGGUGAGGGAACAGUGGCAGGAUGCUGAAGGAAAAAUGGGGAUAGGAUCUGAGAGUGAAUUCUCUGGAGCCUUCUUGCUAGAGAAAAGAGGGCCAUCAUCUAUAUACCGAGUGAAGCAACUAGCAAAGCGAGUACCUUUUCGGUUCUGAAAAUUUGUAGCUAUGAUUAUUAUUAUUUAUUAUUUUUGAUCGACUGUAGCUAUGACCAUUUAUAAAAGACUUUUUUUUUAUUAAAUUGACUGGAUUUAUAUAAAUAAAUCGUGAACAAAUGAGAAUGGCCCAAGGCCUUACAUAAGAAAGUCUGGAAACAAAGAAGCAAAUUGGGCUUAAUAAAUAAACAAAAUAAAGUAAAAUAAAACUCGUGCUUAUCCAGAAAUAAAUUGGGCCUAAUAAAUAAACAAAAUAAAAUAAAAUAAAACUCGUGCUUAUCCAAACCCAGUCAAAUCAAUAUAGCUGGACAUCACUUUGUCAUUUCCGUUCAGAGCCACCCACCAGCUUUAAUGAUAGGAGGUUCCAAUGCUUCUUUUACUCUGCUAUCCUUUAUUGCAUAAGAACCUUUCAUUUCUUCAAUCAGGAGGUUUCAAUCCGCGCCUCUCCAUCACUCGACUGACUGUCUUUGGGACUCCCUUCUCCAGGUAAAAACUUUCGCUUCUCUUAAGAGCCUCCGUUGUAAUAGUGUGAGCAUAGAUGUUUUUUUGCUUUUGGAAUAAAAGAAAACUUAAUCUCCUGGUAACAAUUUUUCCGGUUCCGAAUAUCUCUGAUUAUUGCUCCAAUGAUCGAUCUAUCUGUAAUGGAACUUUUACACUUUUUUAUAACUGUUUUUGCAUCACCCAUUAUCUCCAUUUUGUUGAUUCCCAAAUUAAUACCUAGAGUGAUUGCUUGUAAUCCUGCAUGAGCCUCCGCUGUGAAUGAAUCUUCGAUGUUGGAGUGGAGAACUGCUAAAGACACAAGGAUUUCCCCUUCCCCAUUCCAAACUAUUAACCCCAAUGCCGAUCUGAACGUCUGACUAUCAAACGCUGCAUCAAAAUGAACCGUUUCCCAUCCCCUUUUGAAAACCUGUUGAUAACAGUCAGAAGUAUGGAAGGUAGGUUUAUCUUUUUUUGCUGCUUCGAGUUCUGUUAAAUAGUUUCUAAUUUUCCUUGCUAUUUCUGAUCCUGACAUUUGCUUUUUUUCAUAAAUGAGUUGAUUUCUACUGAACCAGAUAUACCAUAGUCCACAGCAGAAUAGUCGCAACUGCUCCUCGUUUCCUUGACCAAAGAUUCCAGUGAGCCAUCUCCAUAAAUCCUCAUUAUUGUAGUUCAGUAUCCACGAAAGAUUAAGAUGAUACCAGACGUCAAUCACUGCAGGGCACUGUUGGAAAAUAUGGCGACUGCUUUCUUCUUCGCACUCACAUCUGGGACAUUUAGUAUUCACCGAAACCCGCUUUAUUUUGAGAUUGAGAAAAGAGGGGAUAUAGUUCCAUGAAAUCCUCCAUAUAGUCAUUUUGAUUUUCGAUGGAAUUUGUAAUGUCCAUAGUUUCCUGUAAAAGCUUAUAGUUUCGGUAUGUAAAAAUAACUCAUUAGGAUCCAAAGUCAACUCAUGUAAUAGUUUAUAGGCGCUCCUAACUGAAAAUUCUCCGGUCGACUCCCCUUUCCAAACUUGAAGAUCUUCAUGUUCUGUCUCCACCAAUGGGAUCCUCAAUAUUUUCUCCGUUACAGCUGGUUUGAAGGUAUCCUUUAUUAGCUCUGUUUUCCACUUUCUGUUACUUAGUUCAAUCAACUCUGAGACAAAUUCAAAAUUACCAUUCACUUCUUGAUUCGGUAUUCUAACCAUUUCUUUUCCUGGUAACCACAGAUCAUCACAGAUGGAAAUCCUAUCACCUCGACCCACUCUCCAGCAUAGACCUUUUUCAAGCAGAUCUUUCGCAGACCAAACACUUCUCCAGAUAAGUGAAGGUAAAUUUCCUAGCCGAGCUUUCAAGAAAUCUGAAUUGGGAUAAUACUUUGAUUUCAAAACACGAGCUAAUAAUGAAUCUGGGUAAUUAACAAGACGCCAACCCUGUUUCGCUAAUAAAGAAAUAUUAAACUUUGUAAAAUUUCGGAAACCAAGACCACAAUUUUCUUUUAAUAAGCAAAGAUUCUCCCAGGUACACCAAUGGAUACUCUUUUUAUUCCAUAUCUUACGCCACUAAAAAUUAGCAAUAAUUCUUUCCAGAUCUGUACAUAGGGUCUUAGGGAGUAGAAAACACGACAUUGAAUACGUUGGGAUAGCUUGUAAGAUCGCUUUAAUAAAAACUUCCUUACCUUCUUGGGAUAGAAACCUUGUACUCCAAUUAUCAAUCCUUUGUUUGAGUCUAUCUUUUAAACUUUGAAAAGAUAUUUUCUUCCUUUUCCCACCAUACUAGGAAGCCUUAGGUAUCUCUCUAUAUCAUUCGCUCUUCUAACUCCUAGGAUCAUUGAGACAUUACCCCUUAUAUGCUCUUCUGUGUUUGUAUUGAAGAAAAUAGUCGAUUUUUCAUAAUUCACACAUUGCCCUGAGCUCAAUUCAUAUUCCUUUAGAAUCUGUUUUAAAGCAUGUGCCCCCUUUUCUGAAGCUUUUACAAAUAAAAUACAAUCAUCGACAAAGAGUAAAUGUGAGAUAGUUGGUCCUCUUUGACUUGCUUUAACUCUUCUAAGGAUACUUUCUUCUUUUGCAAGCUGCAUUAAACUCGAUAGACCUUCUGCACAGAACAGAAAUAGGAACGGACUGAGAGGGUCACCUUGUCUGAUUCCUCUAGAUGGAAUUAUCGUUUGCCCUCUGUUGCCAUUGAUAAUCACCUCAUAUGAGACCGUCGAGACACAUUUCAAAAUUGAAUCAACCCAUCCUGGAUCAAAACCCGACUUUUUUAUUACUCCUUCCAUAAAGCCCCAUUUGACUCUAUCGUAUGUUCUACUCAUAUCAAGUUUGACAGUCAUGAAUCCUUUUUUCCCCACCCUCUUGAGUUUUAGAGUAUGUAAGAUUUCAUACUCAAGUAAGACAUUAUCCGAAAUCAGCCAUCCUGGGACAAAAGCGCUUUGAGCUAAAUCAAUACAUUUAUGCAUUACUCCUUUGAGUCGUCUAGCAAUAACUUUUGCUAUCAGCUUGUAAAUCACAUUGCAUAAACUAAUUGGUCGAAACUGAGUAAUCCUUGAGGGAUUUAGGACUUUUGGAAUAAGCACAAUGUUUGUUUUAUUGAUUGAAUGUAAAUCCAUACCUUCGUUUAACCUCUGAAGACAAAAAUUGGUUACAUCCUCUCCAACAAUUGGCCAACACUUUUGAUAAAACAGGGAUGGAAAAUCGUCCUCUCCUGGAGCUUUUGUAGGUCCCAUUCCUGAAAGCGCUUCCAGUAUCUCUUCCUUUGUGUAUCUUGCCUUUAAAGUCUUAUUGUCUUCCACUGUGAUACGGCCUUCAAUACCUGUUAGGAUUCUAUCGCAAUGAUUUUGUCCUCCUGUAUUAAACAAUUUUUGAAAAUACAAUCUAGCAAUUUCCUCCUUUUCCUUCCACUCAUCUGUUUCCCUUCCGUCUUCUGACUGCAAUUUAUGUAUCUGAUUAAGUUUUCUUCUUUGUGAUGCUUGCUUGUGGAAGAAAGCUGUAUUUUUGUCCCCUAGCUUUAGCCAAUUAAUUCGGGCCCUCUGUUCCCAGUAACUCUCGUCUUUUUCAAUCUCAAAGUUCAGAUGGAUUUUUGUAUCAAUAAUCUCUGCCAGAUUCUCAUCACUUCUGUCUUCUUCAAGUAAUGCUAUCAGUUUUGAAGUCAAACCCUCUGUUUUCAUUUUCCUAUUCUGUUGGAUUUUAACUCCCCACUUCUCCAACCCUCUUUUGAGGAUCUCUAGCUUGUUUAUAAGAUCUCAUGUAGAAUUUUCCCAAAUUCUUAAUAGUUUCACUAAAGAAUGUUUCUUCUAGUACCCACCACGCUUCAAACUUGAAGUUCCUUUUUGCCCUCUCUCCAUUCUUGUAAGCCGUAUCUAAAAGAAUUUGGACAAUGGUCCGAGAAUGAAUGUGGAAGAUGUCGUACUAGAUUGUUUGGGAAUAAGUCGCUCCAUUGCUCCGUUGCAACACCUCUGUCAAGUCUCUCCUGAAUAUUUGUUUCAAUUAAGUUCCCUCUCUCCCAUGUGAACCAUCUGCCAGAAUAUCCCAAAUCAACUAGAUUACAAUCUUCUAAAACUUGUCUAAAUGCCUCUAUUCUUCUUUCCUCCCUAGGUAAUCCACCUUUCUUUUCGAAACCAUAUAAGAUUUCAUUAAAAUCCUUGCAAACAAGCCAAGGGUAUUCUCCCUGAUUCUGUAAUUGCCUCAACAGAUUCCAUGCUGCAUCCCUGUCUUGUGAAUAAGGGGAUCCAUAAAAACUUGUAAGUCUCCAUAUUUUCCCUUCCUCUCCUUCCUCAAUAAACACAUCAAUAUGUCGGUUUGAAAAGCUUUGUAGUUUAAUGUUAACAUUUUCUUGCCAUGCCAAACUUAGUCCACCUUUCGAUCGAAUCGAGUCAACAUCAAUGCCAAAUUGAAACCCACACCUUCUUCAAACUUUUUCCAUUUUAUUUUUGUUUAAUUUUGUCUCCAUUAAGAAGGUCACUUGGGGAUGAUGUUGCUUCAGCGAAUGCCGAAGUCGUCGAACUGUCCGAGGAUUCCCUAACCCUCGGACAUUCCAGCUUAAGAUUUUCAUUGCGACCGGUCGGCUUGCCUCUUGGCAGCCAUUGAUAACAAAUGGUUAGAUUCAGCCCUUCUACUAUUCCUCCCUCCCGCCUCCAUACUUUCUUCCAUUUCCCCUCUAGUCCUCUUUUUCCCCUCCUCUCCUACAAUCAGCUCAUUCUCCAAAUCAUGCUCCAUCUCCAUGUUAUUAUUACCAAUUAGCUUCCUUGAACUUCCUAGCUCUGCGUAAAGCCCGUUACCUUCCAGAUUAAAACCUAGAAUUGGAUUCGGACUAUUCUCAAAUUUUCCUACUUUCCUCCAAUCUCUAUCACUCCUGAAUUCAUCUCUAUUAUUUUUGCCUACUGAUCCUCCCUCCUCCCUUAACCAGGCACUGCGCAUUGCUUGGGCUCUCCUUGACUGUGCCCGCAAAGAUAGAUCCCAUCCCGUUUCUUCUAUUUCAACCCCAACUUCCAUUUUUACUUUGCAGAAGGAAUCAUGCCCUAACCGGCCACAGAAGAAGCAAAAGAGAGUUAAUCUCUCAUACUUAAAUCUGACAUAAGAACACAUAUUCUUAAACUUAAUCUGUUUUUUCCUUUUGAGAGGGCGACGGAUAUCAAUGUGUACUCUAAUCCGCAUAUAAUUCAUAUUUUCUUUCCCUAAAUUAGAACUAUCAUACUCCUGGAAAGUUCCAAUAAAAUUUCCUAAUUGCAUGGCUAAACUUUCAGAGUAAAAACCAAUGGGAGCCUCAUGAACUUGUACCCAAAAAGGUGAUGAAAUUAAUGGAAUUCUGAGUGGGUCCUCUGCCCAUUGCAACUUAUGUAGAAUCAGCAGAUGGUUAUUAAAUGUCCAAGGGGACCCUUUAAUAACUCUCUCCAUAUCCAUAAUGUGAAAAAAUUAAAAAAUAUACCUCUUUUCCCCCAGAUCUCUAAUUUGAACCCCCUUGAUUGGAUGCCAUAAGUUAGCCAUAGUACUUUUCAUUGCUGGGUAAUGGAUGAUACUGGCUGUAAGGAAACACCCAACUAGACUUAAAUCUUCUUCUGCACUUACCGAUUAGGAUUUCUUCCUCUUCGUCAUCAAGGGAUAGGGCUACAAACUCAGAUUCCAUGGUCGUUAUACGUGAAGAAUAGAAAGAGAAGAUUAUUCACAACACUGGAAAACUCGGCUGUCAAACCAAAAAACUAUUGAAAAAAAAGAAAAUCUAGACUUGCCAGAAGGGCAGACAGUGACGAGCUAGGGUAGCAGACUUUUAUAAAAGACUUAAUAUAACAAUCGUAUUUAAGAGGUAAAAUUGCAACAUUUUAUCUGUUUAAAUCAAGAAUCUAUUUUAAAAAAUUAAUCUCUUAUUGGUUCAAUUUUUUUUGUACAAAUAUUAUUAUUUUUUUAAGGAGAAGUCUUUACGUCAAUGUUAUAGGCUAUUCAUAAACAUAAGAUAUUAUUUGUUAUUGCCUUUUGAAUUUAAAGUGUCAUAGAAACAAUUUUAGAUAUCUACAUGUAAAAGUACUAUCAACUCUUGGCAUUAGGAGGAAUAUUGCAUUUUGCCUCCUAUAUUAAAAAAUUGAUAAAUUAGCCCCUGUAUGUUACAAAAAUGUGUAAAUUAGUCGUUCCGUUAAAUUUUCAUCCAUAGUUGUUGCUAAGUGAUGAUUUGACUUAUUUUCAAUUUUUUUAUGUAAGUGACGUGGAAUUAAAGAAUGAGUAGGAUUCAGUAAAAGUAUUAUAGAGAUCCAAAUAUUAAGAGUUGGAUUGCAUUUUGCCCCUUCUACUCAAAAAAUAGGUAAAUUAAACCCUAUUCGUUAGAUCAAAGAGAAAAAUGGUCAUUUGUUAAAAAAUGAGUUCAAUAUAAAAUUAGUAUCCAAAUUUAUCCACUUCUCCCAAAUUGAUACUUAUGGUCUUUUUUGUCUCAGAUUGGUACCCGAACUUUUUUCCCGUCAAUUAAAGCGGUAUUUGAGCCUAACGUAGUUAAGUUUAGGACACGUGCUAGAAUAUAAUUGUGAUACGUGGUAUAGAUGACAUCAUGGUGAUGUCAUAAUAUUUUUUUAAAAAACCUUUUUCUUUUUUGAAUUUUUCCCCAAUUUAUGUUGUUCCUUUUUAUUCUUUUUCUUUCUUCUUCCUCCUUCAACCCUAAAUUUUGUUUCUUCUCUGUUUCUUUUAUCUGUUCAAUUAAAACCCUUUUUAAUAUAAUUUUGAAAAAAAAGGGUCAUUUUGAGUUUAUAGAGGAUGAGGAUAGGUUUUGUUUCAAGUAAACAUGAAAUUUGUUUUAAAAAGGGUUAAUUUGUUUCAAAAAAGAUUUUGAGGGUUUGAAUUGAAUCGUUGAGUGGGGACUAAGUUUGGGCAUGGGUGUUGUUACAAGGUGCUGUAAUGAAAUCUAAUGGGGUAAAUUUGAGGGGUUUUGGUUUUAGGGUUUGAGGAUUUAAUGGGGAGAGAAAUGAGAGAUGAAGAUUGGGAUUUUCUUUGUAAUGGAAGCUAAGGGGGUGAAUUUUAGGGUUUUGAAUUAGGUGAAGAGAAGUAGACUUUGCAGUCGUCUAGAUUCUAAAACCCAAACUUCGACUUUCCUGAUAUGUACCACUUAGAUUAAGACACAAAAUUGGAGUUCACUUCUUGCUUACAAAUCAUGUGCAUAUGUGUUUGCAUUUGAGACUGUGAGAGUGAGGAACAGUAAAGGAUGAGCUUAACCAAACCUUAUAUUAUACCAUUUCCAAUGCUCAAAAAAUGAUAUAGUCAAAUCACUUUUUCAGUUUCCUAUUUCUUCUUAUUGGUUGAGUAAUUGUUUCGGUCUAGAGUCUAUUACUAUAAAUAUCACAAAUUAAGCUGAUGUUCAAAGUUUUUAUUUUCUACUGUGUAAGAAAAUAAUUUUUUAAAUCAAAUUUUUUCCAACAGCCGUACCUCGAGAGCUCGAACCAAAGCUAAAAUCUCUUUAUCAUAAGUUGAAUAGUUGAGUUAGGCCCCAUGAAGUUUCUCACUAAAAUAUGCUAAAGGUCUCUGUAACACUCCUAACUCGUAUCCGUCACUGGAACAAGGUUAUGGAGCAUUACUGGACCUAUCAGACAAUUUACAAUUAAUAUGGAAACCAACACAUUUUCACAUUCAAACCUAUUUAAAACAUGCCUUUCAUAAUUAAAUACUCAUCAUAUACUAAAUGACCAUUUGGUCAUCUUAAACCAUCACCAAAACCUUUAUAAAAAAGACUCAAGCCUAUACAUGCCAUAUAACCAAUAUCACAAAGGUUAUAAAUACCAAACCAUAGCUGGAUAGUGUGAUGAGAUCUCCGAUGACUUCCAACACGAGCAAGCCUUCGAAACUCUAUAAACAUAGGAAAGAAAACAAAGUAAGCUAUAAAGCUUAGUAAGCUCGUAUGGAAAUAAACCCAUGUUAUUAAAUAACCGCAUUUAAAAUAAUUAUUCAAAAUAUGAUAUAAUUUAUAUGAUUGUAACAUUCUAUUUCAAAUUCAUGCACAUAGUUAAUCCAGAUUUUCAUGAGUUUAUUCUUUCAAAACUCGUAUAGUUUGAAUACUUCUUAUCAAUUCAUUCACAUUUUCAUAUGCAUAAGCAAUUAUAUAUAUACUUUAUUCAAUUCAAUAUUCAUCACCUUUUCUUCAGCCAAGCGAAAUAUCAUCAAAUAACGAUAUUUCGCACACUAUAUGCCUUAUGUGUAUUUAGUUAAAACAACUAUAACUCAUAUCUCACAUAUCAUUUAUAUAAUUCACAUAGAUCAUAUUCCAAUUCAUUCUCAAUCAUAUAAUCUAUAACAGUAUAAUACCCGUUGAACCUACUGAAACAUCGAAGGAUACUCGGGUGAUACACAUUAUCUGCAUUAAUUGGUAAUCCAUCAAUUCAUUAUCAUUUCUGCUCUUUCGAGCCAUGAUCGGUAAGCUCAUUCUGAGUUGAAGAACGGUAAGCUCAUAAGAGCUGAUAUAUCGGUAAGCUCAUACGAGCUGUGGUGAGUCCGUAACAAAUGUAGGAGCUCGACCAAAAUGGUAACCCUAGUGUCAUGUCACUCGUAUCCUACGAUUUUCUAUAGUUCAAAUAGGGCUCGGUAUUACUUAAUACAUUUCAAAUUAAGCAAUUUAGUAUCGUUUAUUUCAACCAUUCAAUUCACAUAUAUAUACAUAUUCAUUUCAUACAAUUGCAAUUAAAUGAAAGUUCGAUUCUAGUUAUAGGAACUUACCACAUUGCAUAAUUUAAGCAAUUAAAUCAAUAUGUCCAACUCGAAUAUUCAAAUGCCUAUCACACAUACACCUCAAUAGGUUAGAGUCUCAAAUAUGAAUAUAACCAACAUUUCAUCCAUGAAUGCUUCAAUUUGGCAUUCAACUCACAUAGCAUUUAAUUCAUAAAUUUCAUAAAAUUUCAUUUCCAUACAUUCUCAUAACACAUCAUAUUUCAUAUACAUGACACACUAAGAAUUUAUUAGAUUACUUUCAUUUGAUUCUUAUUUAGAUUUUGUACGUAUAUGUAUCACUUAAUUCGAUUGUACUUUCAUUCUCAUCUUGGCUUUUCCAGUUGAACCAUUCAAAAUCGUUAAGGAUACUCAGAAAUCAUAAUAGCUCAUACAAUGCCAUAUCCCAGAUAUGGUCUUAAUGUUAUCACAUAUCGAUGCCACUGCCCAGACAGGGUCUUAUACGAAAUCAUAUGACGAUGCCGAUGUCCCAGACAUGGUCUUACAUGUAAUCACAAUACAAUGUCAAUGUCCCAGACAUGGUCUUACAUGUUAUCACCUCUCAGUAAUCCUAAUGUCAUGACAUUUGUAUCCUAUUCUAUUACUAAGGUUCAUACAUGAAUUUUGGACGUCGUAACUCUGUCGAUUUCAGCUCGUAUUCAUGACCAUUCAUCACUCAAUUCAAUUCAAUAUUAAUUAAGCAUUUAUAACACAAUUUAAAUAUGUUAUUAGCAUACAAACUUACCUCAUUCGCUGUAACAACGAAUUAGGUCGACUAAUCCGAUACUUUAUUUUCUCCCGUCUAGAUCCGAAUCUCAUUUUUCUCAAUCUAUAAAAUAACAAAAUUUUCUUAUUUAAUCAUUUGUUCAUUCAAUUUAACACAAAUUACAUGUUUUGGCAAAAUUACACUUUUCCCCUAUUAUUUCACAUUUUUGCAAUUUAGUCCUUAUCACAUAAAAUCAUAAUUUCAUGCAAUUUCAUCCUACCCAUGCUUAUUUGAAUUCUUCUUAUUACCUUAGUAGCCUACAUUUUCCAAAUAAUCACACUUUUAACCACAUAAUUUCAAUAUUUCACAAUUUAAUCCCUAAUUUGUAUUUUUAUCAAAAAAAUCACUAUAAAAUAUGAAAAUCUAACAUCAAAUAUUCAUAUUUCACCAUUAAACAUCAAAUAACACAUAAUCUCAUCAAUAUCAACUAUCAAAAUCUUUAAUAGUUUUUGAAGUCGAAGACACGAGUUAGCUAGUACUAGAUGUAAUGAUCUCAAAAAUGUAGAAAUCAUUAAAAACAGAUCAAAAUCCAUACCUAUUUGAGUAAAAAUACCGUGGCCGAAAGUCAAGCUCAUCCAUGGUUGUUUCAAACUCCAUUUUCGAUUGUAAAUUGGAUGAAAGAAGAUGAUAAUUGACUUUGUUUUAUUUAUUUUAUCUUAUAUUAUCAAAUACCAAAAUUAACCUUUAAAAAUAUUAGUUACUACACCAAAUGCCACUCCACUAUCAUCCACUAACUCAUACAUGGGCUAUUUUCCACAUAAGGACCUUUACUUUAAAGUUCUAUAGCUAUUUGACACUUUUAGCUUACAGAACACAACUUUUGCACUUUACGUGAUUUAGUCCUUUUUAUCAAAUUAAGUACCCAAAUGAUAAAAUUUCUUCACAAAAGUUUUACACAAUCAUAAUAUCAUACUGUAAUUAUUAAAAUAAUAAUAAAAUAAAUUUUUUGACAUCAGAUUCAUGGUUCCAAAAUCACUAUUCUGAUUUGACCAGAAAAAGAAAGGGUUGUUACAGUCUCUUAUCUUGCCUCAAUACUACGACAAUCCCAACACCUAAAUCAUCACAUUCUAUUUCAAAUGUGUUAGAAAACUCAAAUAUUUUUAAAAUAGGAGGAGAACAUAACUUAUCUUUCUAGGCUUGAAAUAAGUUUUCUUAGGCUUCUCCCCAUUUAAACCCAAAGGAUUUCUUAAUGACUUCGGUUAAAGGAGCUACUAAGGUGGACUUCACGAAUCGUAUAUAAAAGCUUUCUAAUCCAUGGAAACAUUACACUUUUGUAAUUGAAUUAGGUGUGGGUCACUCUCAAAUGGCUUUCACCUUGUCUUCAUCAAUAUGGAUACCUUGUGCACUAACAAUAAAUACCAAAGGGAUGAGCUUACUACAAAAUUAAAUGCAUUUAUCAAGGUUAGUAUAUAGUUGAUCAUGACGUAAAAUCUCUAAAACAGCUUGUACAUGUUCAACAUGCUCAUUUAAAGACUUAAGAGUAAAUUAGAAUGUCAUCAAAAUAAACAACUACAAACUUAGCUAAGAAAGGUAUUAAGACAUGAUUUAUCAACCUCAUAAAUGUACUAGAGGCGUAAGUUAAGUCAAAAGCCAUAACCAACCAUUCAUACAAUCUGGAUUUAGUUUUGAAAGUGAUUUUCCACUUAUCCCUUUCUUUGAUACGUAUUUGGUGAUAUCCACUCUUAAAAUCAAAUUUCAUGAAAAUACAUGCACUAUAAAGUUCAUCAAGCAUGUCAUCCAACCUAGGUAUGGUACUUAAUAGUAAUGAAAUUAAUAAGCCUACAAUCUACACACAUACAAAAUGUACCAUCCUUUUUGGGUACCAAUAAAACCAAAAUCGCACAAUGGCUCAAACUCUCUCGAAUGUAUCCUUUCUCUAAAAGCUCUUCCACUAAUCGUUGCAACUCAUUUGGCUUUUUGGGGUUGCUUCGAUAAGUUGGUUGGUUUGGAAUUGUCGAGUCAAGGAUCAAAUCAAUUUGAUGCUCAAUACCUCACAAAGGUGGUAAACCUUUAAGAGCAUCACCAAAUACAUCCUCAUAUUCCUACAACAAGGAAAUAAAACACUAGGCAAAGGUUAGAAAAUGAUAAGUAAUUUUGCCUAAAAUACAUUAGAAUACAAGGUUGUUUACUUAGUAGGGCUUUCUUCACAUUUUUUGUACUCGCAUAAAAAUUUUGAUGCACUCUUUUUUCUCACAAGAGGAUUCACUCACUAGUGGGCCAUUAUUUAGUCUUUUGUUACUCAUGGCCUCUUUUCUCUUAACCUUUUUUACCUUACUACCUUGAACCCCCUCACAAAAUUUCAUCAUUUUCAAUUGGCCAUUGUGUACAUCUUUGGGAUCCAAAAUGGUUAAGUAUCUAUUCAAUUUGCCAUGGUGGAUGACCUCUCGAUCAAACUGCCAUGGUCUCCUCAAUAGUAAAUGAGCAACAUGCAUUGGGG
rnacentral:lncRNA from 1 species